UUUCCCCUCCUGCGCCGCCACCCAAAAUCUCCACCGAGCUCCAGGCCUCCCACAUCCCGCUGCCCGUUCUUUCCUCUCCCGCGCCGCCCGGCCACCCAAAACUCGGUCCGCCUCCCGCGCCGCCAUCCACCGAGCUCCCGGCCUCCCGCGUCCUGCCACCCCUUCUUUCCCCUCCUGCGCCGCCACUCCAUUUUUUCCCCAGCCUCCCGCGCCACCAUCUCGAGCUCCCGCAUCGCCCACCCCCCAUCCCUCGGUCGCGCCUUUGUCCCAAGCGCUCCGCCGGUGGGGGACGAUGCUUUGUGCCGCCGCUCAUCAGUAGGGGCGAGGCUUUGCGCUGCCUCCCGCCGAAGACACGCCGCGCCUGACGGUGAAUGGCCCCCAAGCUGCGAGGCUGUCGAUGGCCCCCCACGUUGAUGAACCCCCAAGUCGCGAAGCUCCAAUGUUCCCAAGAUCCAGCCACGUUUCCUCCAUCUGUAGUUGCCGCACAUGGUACACCGAGGCAGCCUGUUAUCCCCGUCGGCUCCGUCCUCCCCUUGCUGAUCCGGUGCAAGUUCAUGGUGGCAUCCUCCUUGACGUGAAGAAAGCAAGGUAUACCAUGGGAGAAUCUCUCCAGGAAGGUCACCAAAAGAAAGCAAGGUAUUGAGUUUCUUCUCUUCUAGCAGUUCACAUGACAAAUCCAGGAAAUCUGUCAUAUCUCUGAACUCCUAUCAGAUGUAUUUCAAAUUGCAGUAACCAAUUGAUAGUUAUGAUGAAUUUUGUGAUAGGCUGAUAUAUAGUGAGGUAGGGUACUAGACUAAUGCUAGUGCUUGCUCUACCUACCUGGUGAUUAUUUUCCUCAAAAAUAAUUUGUGUCAUGUUUUAACAGAACAAUUAGAUUGUCCAAAACUUGAAGUAUUCUGGUGAUAUAGCAUCGACUAGCAUAUAUUGGUGUGAUGCUUUCAUGCUACAGGUGUAUGGUACUUGAUAGAUUUAAUAAGUGCAAUACUACUGUCAUUUGCCCAGUGAUGAAUUACAGUUAAGUUGUGAGGACUAUUUCUUACAAUGUUAUCUUAUGCUAUUUUGUAUUAGUUAUGUACUGUGAUAGUUGCUUUAGACUGGAGGCGACACUGGAGGCCGCUGUGGCCGAGACUCCGGCAAGGUAGCGAGUGGCAAAACCUCCAGCAAAGGCUGCAACCUGACAUGAGAGCGGAGACCACCUUGACCGGUAAGUCCAAUCUAAGAGGUAUAGUUCAACUGCAAGUAAGGUGUUUGCCGAAAUGCCUCCUUAGCAGUCGACAAUCAGGAACACAACAUGAGAUCCAGGUAAUACUCUCCUCUUCGUUGGUCCCUCUCCCACCUCUGUUGUCUACAUGUGGUGCUCUGAAACUCUGAUAUGUUCUUGUAGAGAGUAGAGACUAAAUAUUAAAGUAAUUGAGAAUCAGAGAUAGUAUUAGUUUCUUGCAGUGCUCUGUUCUUGUUGAGAUAUAUGGUUUAUGAGUGAUUAUAGAUGCAGCCAGUAUUCGGGAUUGAUGUGGAUGGAUCCAUGUCUAUGGAUCUUGGAUAUUUCCAUUUUGCACAUGUGUGACUUGCUGGAUAGAGAAUAAUUGAGUUUAUACAACCGUGUGACUUGAGUAAUCUGGAAAUUGUUUAUCAAAAAAAAUUAAUUCAUGUGUGUACAGGUUGCUAGAAAUAUACCAAUUGGAAAGUUACCAAAUAAAUUAACUGCGCGUCGCUUGAUACCUGUUGCCCAAAUUCUAUUUUGAUGCGUGUUGCCAUAACAUCUAUUUGGAACAUAAUUAAACAGUCCUAUUCCUUGUAGGAGGUCUUGCCUUAUUUCCAUCUUUCUAAAUACUUAUGUGCCAAUGUUUGGAGACUUGCUGAUAUGCAACUUGAUCUAUUCUUUAUACAUAAGACAUUAGACAUUAGAUGGAUAAAUAAUGACAGUAGCUAAUCUAACUAAUUCAUUGCAGGCUACUGGUUCUUGUCAUGCUGCCUCGGAAUCCGAUAACAAUGACAAUGAUGGUGGCCACAAUAGCAAUAGUGGAAGCCAAGCUAUGUGAUGGGCUGGUCAGUUGUGCAAAAACGUCAUGCUAUUUUUUAGUUUUUGAAUUUUCACUGUUGUGAACUCAACUUGUAAUGUUUUGAAGUGUUUGGUCUGCAUAUACUUAGUUGGUAGGAGAUACACUUGCUUUUGGGAAGACAUGUGACACAGUGACAUUGGUGUUUAAGCCAAACAUUUGGACAUCAUCUUAUAUGUAUGAUGUGUAAUGGUCGAGCUCUGGUGUAGUUAAGCAAGUUGUAUGAUUAAGUUGUGAUGUGCCAUAAAUGGACUAUUAUGUGAAUGAUUCAGAUUUAAUUGGAA